GAAAAGGCUUUCUUCAAAGCUACAGUUUCUAUUCUUAAAUUGAAAAU
rfam:Egretta garzetta contig14079, whole genome shotgun sequence.